rnacentral:rRNA from 1 species
AUUGAACGCUGGCGGCAGGCCUAACACAUGCAAGUCGAGCGGAACGGCGGGCGGGCGGGUGAGGCCUAUAAAUCUGCCUGCUCGUGAGGGAUAACGUCCGGCAACGGGCGCUAAUACCGCAUACUCUCAGAUGAGCCUAGGUCGGAUUAGCUAGUUGGUGGGGUAACGGCCUACCAAGGCGACGAUCCGUAGCUGGUCUGAGAGGAUGAUCAGUCACACUGGAACUGAGACACGGCCCAGACUCCUACGGGAGGCAGCAGUGGGGAAUAUUGGACAAUGGGCGAAAGCCUGAUGCAGCCAUGCCGCGUGUGUGAAGAAGGCCUUCGGAUUGUAAAGCACUUUAAGUUGGGAGGCGUUACCAACAGAAGAAGCACCGGCUAACUUCGUGCCAGCAGCCGCGGUAAUAC